GACGAACGCUGGCGGCGUGCUUAACACAUGCAAGUCGAACGGAAAGGCCCUGCUUGCAGGGUACUCGAGUGGCGAACGGGUGAGUAACACGUGGGUGAUCUGCCCUGCACUUCGGGAUAAGCCUGGGAAACUGGGUCUAAUACCGGAUAGGAGCCAUUUUUAGUGUGAUGGUUGGAAAGUUUUUUCGGUGUAGGAUGAGCUCGCGGCCUAUCAGCUUGUUGGUGGGGUAAUGGCCUACCAAGGCGGCGACGGGUAGCCGGCCUGAGAGGGUGGACGGCCACAUUGGGACUGAGAUACGGCCCAGACUCCUACGGGAGGCAGCAGUUGGGAAUAUUGCACAAUGGGCGCAAGCCUGAUGCAGCGACGCCGCGUGGGGGAUGACGGCCUUCGGGUUGUAAACUCCUUUCGCUAGGGACGAAGCUUUUUGUGACGGUACCUAGAUAAGAAGCACCGGCUAACUACGUG
rnacentral:rRNA from 1 species